rnacentral:rRNA from 1 species
UACGUAGGGUGCAAGCGUUGUCCGGAAUUAUUGGGCGUAAAGAGCUCGUAGGCGGUUUGUCGCGUCUGCUGUGAAACCCGAGGCUCAACCUCGGCCUGCAGUGGGUACGGGCAGACUAGAGUGAUGUAGGGAGACUGGAAUUCCUGGUGUAGCGGUGAAAUGCGUAGAUAUCUGGAGGAACACCGGUGGCGAAGGCGGCAUCCUGGACCGGCAUUGACGCUGAGGAGCGAAAGCAUGGGGAGCGAACAGG